rnacentral:misc_RNA from 1 species
UGCUAGCAAAGCAAGAAAAGGCACUGAAAAGUUGGAAUGUCCAGUGGGAUCUAAAGCUUUGCAAAUAGCUAGGGUUAUGGGGAUAAGCAUUAAUUAAAAGUUGUUGUCCUAAUCAAUAAUGGUUAUUAUAUCAGAAAAAAGAAAAAAUCUAAGUCUGCUCCUGACAAACAAUGAAAAUAUCUAAGAGAUUCAUAAAUAGAAGGAAUAGUACGUCUUGUAUAGGCCACCAGGAAAUUAAAUGACGUGAACAGCAAAAGAAGAAAAAGUGUUUGCAGGACUUGUCAAUUUUUUUUUGGGGUAAAAGUAAAGGCUGAUGUGGAUGUGGA